ACUCCUACGGGAGGCAGCAGUGGGGAAUAUUGCACAAUGGGGGAAACCCUGAUGCAGCCAUGCCGCGUGUGUGAAGAAGGCCUUCGGGUUGUAAAGCACUUUCAGUAGGGAGGAAGGUAGUGUAGUUAACACCUGCAUUAUUUGUACGUUACCUACAGAAGAAGCACCGGCUAACUCCGUGCCAGCAGCCGCGGUAAGUACGGAGGGUGCGAGCGUUAAUCGGAAUUACGUGGGCGUAAAGCGCAUGCAGGCGGCCUGUUAAGUCAGAUGUGAAACGCCCGGGGCUUAACCUCGGAAUUGCAUUUGAAACUGGCAGGCUAGAGUCUUGUAGAGGGGUUAGAAUUUCGAGGUGUAGCGGUGAAAUGCGUAGAGAUCUAGAAGGAAUACCGAGUGGCGAAGG
rnacentral:rRNA from 1 species